rnacentral:rRNA from 1 species
UACGUAGGUGGCAAGCGUUGUCCGGAUUUAUUGGGCGUAAAGGGAACGCAGGCGGUCUUUUAAGUCUGAUGUGAAAGCCUUCGGCUUAACCGGAGUAGUGCAUUGGAAACUGGGAGACUUGAGUGCAGAAGAGGAGAGUGGAACUCCAUGUGUAGCGGUGAAAUGCGUAGAUAUAUGGAAGAACACCAGUGGCGAAAGCGGCUCUCUGGUCUGUAACUGACGCUGAGGUUCGAAAGCGUGGGUAGCAAACAGG